CCUUAGAGUUUGAUCCUGGCUCAGGAUGAACGCUGGCGGCGUGCUUAACACAUGCAAGUCGAACGGGGGUUACUUUGUGGAGAUCUUCGGAUCAAAGCGAUUUAACUCGAGUGGCGGACGGGUGAGUAACACGUGAGUAACCUGCCUUUCGCUGGGGAAUAACUGUGGGAAACCAUGGCUAAUACCGCAUGUUGUGCAUGACAGGCAUCUGUUGUGUAUGAAAGGAGUAAUCCGGCAAAAGAUGGGCUCGCGUCUGAUUAGCUGGUUGGUGGGGUAACGGCCCACCAAGGCGACGAUCAGUACCCGAGCUGAGAGGCUGAACGGCCACACUGGGACUGAGACACGGCCCAGACUCCUACGGGAGGCAGCAGUGGGGAAUAUUGGGCAAUGGGGGAAACCCUGACCCAGCAACGCCGCGUGAAGGAAGAAGGUUUUCGGAUUGUAAACUUCUGUCCUCAGGGACGAAACAAAUGACGGUACCUGAGGAGGAAGCCCCGGCUAACUACGUGCCAGCAGCCGCGGUAAUACGUAGGGGGCGAGCGUUGUCCGGAAUUACUGGGCGUAAAGGGAGCGCAGGCGGUCUUUUAAGUAGGAUGUGAAAUACCCGGGCUUAACCUGGGGGGUGCAUCCUAAACUGGGGGACUUGAGUGUGGGAGAGGAAAGUGGAAUUCCUAGUGUAGCGGUGAAAUGCGUAGAUAUUAGGAGGAACACCAGUGGCGAAGGCGACUUUCCGGACCACAACUGACGCUGAGGCUCGAAAGCGUGGGGAGCAAACAGGUUUAGAUACCCUGGUAGUCCGCACAGUAAAC
rnacentral:rRNA from 1 species